rnacentral:rRNA from 1 species
AGUGAACGCUGGCGGUAGGCCUAACACAUGCAAGUCGAACGGCAGCACAGGAGAGCUUGCUCUCUGGGUGGCGAGUGGCGGACGGGUGAGGAAUACAUCGGAAUCUACUCUGUCGUGGGGGAUAACGUAGGGAAACUUACGCUAAUACCGCAUACGACCUACGGGUGAAAGCAGGAGAACUUCGGGCCUUGCGCGCUUUAAUGAGCCGGUGUCGGAUUAGCUAGUUGGCGGGGUAAAGGCCAACCAAGGCGACCAACCGUAGCUGGGCUGAGAGGAUGAUCGGCCACACGGGAACUGAAACACGGUCCAGACUCCUACGGGAGGCAGCAGUGGGGAAUAUUGGACAAUGGGCGCAAGCCUGAUCCAGCCAGACCGCGUGGGUGAAGAAGGCCUUCGGGUUGUAAAGCCCUUUUGUUGGGAAAGAAAUCCAGCUGGCUAAUACCCGGUUGGGAUGACGGUACCCAAAGAAUAAGCACCGGCUAACUUCGUGCCAGCCGCCGCGGUAA